AAACCAUUACUAACCUAAUUGGUGAAAUCAACCGAUUUCUAAUACCUCCCUUUUGCUCCGUUUAGGCGAUCCUUUAGUUUACCCUCCCUCUUUUACCUUCCCAGGCUUCACCUUUUAUUUUCUUUUUCUUUACAACCGAUUUGCUCCUUCUCAACCUUUUCUUUUCUUUUUGUAUCAUUAUAGCUCCAAAUUUUUGUUGUUUGAUCGAAUCCAAAAUAUUAAUCUCAGCUUCGCACAAAAACUAAUCAAUGGAGGGGCUGAUAAAAUACCCUAAAAUUGAACCAGAAGACAACCAGUUUCAAUUCUUAUCUCCCCAGUUCUGUACUCUGGAAUUAGUGAUUCAGCCUGGAGGAAUUUCAGACUUCCCCAUCAGAUGAUGUCCCCAGCAAACAAUACCGGGCCUUCAUCUGGCUCACAGAUGGAUUUCUUAGCUGAGCUUCGUCGUGCAAUUCGAAAUGGCAAUACCGACAACUGACUACUGACAAAGUGUGAUAAUGGCAGAUGUGGACUUAUGAAGAACUUCAUGAACUUUGCACUCGAAGUACCUGUUGUACGUGUUCAUUAGUUACUGAAAUCAAAUGCUACUUAUUUGGGCGAUCGUGUUAUUCAGUGUAAAGAAUGGUCCAGGCAUUUGUUUAUGUCCUGGUCCUUGGACAUGUAAUUUAGAUGAAAACGUUAUGAAAUCUGUCAACUAUACAGUGAUAUUAUUACUCUGGAACUCUAAGGUGGUGUUUUUAUUCUCUUUCCUUUUAUGAGACAGUAGUAGGGGAGGGGUAUUUUGUUGCCGGACCUGUAUGGAUUUUGAUGAAUGCAAAUCUCUGUCUAGUAAAA